rnacentral:rRNA from 1 species
AGGUCCAUCCAGUCGCAAGACUGGGGAAGACCUAGCGGCGAACGGGUGAGUAACACGUGAGCAACCUGUCCCGAAGACUGGGAUAACACCGGGAAACCGGUGCUAAUACCGGAUGUCCUCCUCUGGUCGCAUGGCCUAAGGAGGAAAGGAAUUUUGCUUCGGGAGGGGCUCGCGGGCUAUCAGCUUGUUGGUGAGGUAACGGCUCACCAAGGCGACGACGGCUAGCUGGUCUGAGAGGACGACCAGCCACACUGGGACUGAGACACGGCCCAGACUCCUACGGGAGGCAGCAGUGGGGAAUCUUGCGCAAUGGGCGAAAGCCUGACGCAGCAACGCCGCGUGGGGGAUGAAUGCCUUCGGGUUGUAAACCCCUUUCAGCAGGGACGAAAAUGACGGUACCUGCAGAAGAAG